rnacentral:rRNA from 1 species
UACAGAGGGGGCAAGCGUUGUUCGGAAUUAUUGGGCGUAAAGGGCGCGUAGGCGGUCGAGUAAGUCUGACGUGAAAUCCCUUGGCUCAACCAAGGAACUGCGUCUUAAACUGCUCGGCUUGAGUCCGGGAGAGGGUAGUGGAAUUCCCAGUGUAGCGGUGAAAUGCGUAGAUAUUGGGAGGAACACCAGCGGCGAAGGCGGCAUCCUGGACUGGUCCUGACACUCAGGAGCGAAAGCGUGGGGAGCGAUCCGG